GACGAACGCUGGCGGCGUGCUUAACACAUGCAAGUCGAACGGAAAGGCCCUGCUUUUGUGGGGUGCUCGAGUGGCGAACGGGUGAGUAACACGUGAGUAACCUGCCCUUGACUUUGGGAUAACUUCAGGAAACUGGGGCUAAUACCGGAUAGGAGCUCCUGCUGCAUGGUGGGGGUUGGAAAGUUUCGGCGGUUGGGGAUGGACUCGCGGCUUAUCAGCUUGUUGGUGGGGUAGUGGCUUACCAAGGCUUUGACGGGUAGCCGGCCUGAGAGGGUGACCGGCCACAUUGGGACUGAGAUACGGCCCAGACUCCUACGGGAGGCAGCAGUGGGGAAGAUUGCACAAUGGGCGGAAGCCUGAUGCAGCAACGCCGCGUGCGGGAUGACGGCCUUCGGGUUGUAAACCGCUUUCGCCUGUGACGAAGCGUGAGUGACGGUAAUGGGUAAAGAAGCACGGGCUAACUACGUG
rnacentral:rRNA from 1 species